UACGUAGGGUGCGAGCGUUGUCCGGAAUUAUUGGGCGUAAAGAGCUUGUAGGCGGUUUGUCGCGUCUGCUGUGAAAAUCCGGGGCUCAACCCCGGACUUGCAGUGGGUACGGGCAGACUGGAGUGUGGUAGGGGAGACUGGAAUUCCUGGUGUAGCGGUGAAAUGCGCAGAUAUCAGGAGGAACACCGAUGGCGAAAGGCAGGUCUCUGGGGCCACUACUGACGCUGAGAAGCGAAAGCAUGGGGAGCGAACAGG
rnacentral:rRNA from 1 species